UACGAAGGGGGCUAGCGUUGCUCGGAAUCACUGGGUUUAAAGGGUGCGUAGGCGGACAGGUAAGUCAGUGGUGAAAUCUCCGGGCUUAACUCGGAACUGCCGUUGAUACUAUCUGUCUUGAAUAAGUUGUGGAGGUAAGCGGAAUAUGAUCAUGUAGCGGUGAAAUGCUUAGAUAUGACAUAGAACACCGAUAGCGAAGGCAGCUUGCUACACAAUUAUUGACACUGGAGGCUCG
rnacentral:rRNA from 1 species